GAUGAACGCUGGCGGCGUGCCUAAUACAUGCAAGUAGAACGCUGAAGCUUGGUGCUUGCACCGAGCGGAUGAGUUGCGAACGGGUGAGUAACGCAUAGGUAACCUGCCUGGUAGCGGGGGAUAACUAUUGGAAACGAUAGCUAAUACCGCAUAACAGUAGAUGUUGCAUGACAUUUGCUUGAAAGGGGCAAUUGCUCCACUACCAGAUGGACCUGCGUUGUAUUAGCUAGUUGGUGAGGUAACGGCUCACCAAGGCGACGAUACAUAGCCGACCUGAGAGGGUGAUCGGCCACACUGGGACUGAGACACGGCCCAGACUCCUACGGGAGGCAGCAGUAGGGAAUCUUCGGCAAUGGACGGAAGUCUGACCGAGCAACGCCGCGUGAGUGAAGAAGGUUUUCGGAUCGUAAAGCUCUGUUGUAAGAGAAGAACGAGUGUGAGAGUGGAAAGUUCACACUGUGGCGGAACUACCAGAA
rnacentral:rRNA from 1 species